AAGGAACACUAUGUGGCAGAUGAUCAAAACAGUCUGACACAGCUUGAGCUUGCUAUAGCAACAAAGUCUAACCCAUUCUGGUGUUCUCUCCUCUAUCAGACAAGCCAUUAUAUAGACUUAGACAGU